GAUGAACGCUGGCGGCGUGCCUAAUACAUGCAAGUCGAGCGAAUGGAUUAAGAGCUUGCUCUUAUGAAGUUAGCGGCGGACGGGUGAGUAACACGUGGGUAACCUGCCCAUAAGACUGGGAUAACUCCGGGAAACCGGGGCUAAUACCGGAUAACAUUUUGAACCGCAUGGUUCGAAAUUGAAAGGCGGCUUCGGCUGUCACUUAUGGAUGGACACGCGUCGCAUUAGCUAGUCGGUGAGGUAACGGCUCACCAAGGCAACGAUGCGUAGCCGACCUGAGAGGGUGAUCGGCCACACUGGGACUGAGACACGGCCCAGACUCCUACGGGAGGCAGCAGUAGGGAAUCUUCCGCAAUGGACGAAAGUCUGACGGAGCAACGCCGCGUGAGUGAUGAAGGCUUUCGGGUCGUAGAACUCUGUUGUUAGGGAAGAACAAGUGCUAGUUGAAUAAGCUGGCACCUUGACGGUACCUAACCAGAAAGCCACGGCUAACUACGUGCCAGCAGCCGCUGUAA
rnacentral:rRNA from 1 species